UAGGGAAUCUUCGGCAAUGGACGGAAGUCUGACCGAGCAACGCCGCGUGAGUGAAGAAGGUUUUCGGAUCGUAAAGCUCUGUUGUAAGAGAAGAACGAGUGUGAGAGUGGAAAGUUCACACUGUGACGGUAACUUACCAGAAAGGGACGGCUAACUACGUGCCAGCAGCCGCGGUAAUACGUAGGUCCCGAGCGUUAUCCGGAUUUAUUGGGCGUAAAGCGAGCGCAGGCGGUUAGAUAAGUCUGAAGUUAAAGGCUGUGGCUUAACCAUAGUACGCUUUGGAAACUGUUUAACUUGAGUGCAGAAGGGGAGAGUGGAAUUCCAUGUGUAGCGGUGAAAUGCGUAGAUAUAUGGAGGAACACCGGUGGCGAAAGCGGCUCUCUGGUCUGUAACUGACGCUGAGGCUCGAAAGCGUGGGGAGCAAACAGGAUUAGAUACCCUGGUAGUCCACGCCGUAAACGAUGAGUGCUAGGUGUUAGGCCCUUUCCGGGGCUUAGUGCCGCAGCUAACGCAUUAAGCACUCCGCCUGGGGAGUACGACCGCAAGGUUG
rnacentral:rRNA from 1 species